AUUGAACGCUGGCGGCAGGCCUAACACAUGCAAGUCGAACGAGUGGCGGACGGGUGAGUAAUGUCUGGGAAACUGCCCGAAGGAGGGGGAUAACUACUGGAAACGGUAGCUAAUACCGCAUACCAUCGGAUGUGCCCAGAUGGGAUUGGCUAGUGGGUGGGGUAAAGGCUAACCUAGUCGACGAUCCCUAGCUGGUCUGAGAGGAUGACCGGCCACACUGGAACGGAGAACCGGUCCAGACUCCUACGGGAGGCAGCAGUGGGAAAUAUUGCACAAUGGGCGAAAGCCUGAUGCAGCCAUGCCGCGUGUAUGAAGAGGGCCUUGGGUUUGUAAAGUACUUUCAGCGAGGAGGCGUUACUCGCAGAAGAAGCACCGGCUAACUCCGUGCCAGCCGCCGCGGUAAUUC
rnacentral:rRNA from 1 species